UUUUCUUUUUCUGUUUUUUUUUCAAAUCUUUUUUUUUUUGGGAGAUUCUAUAUUUACUUGGAUUGAAAAAGGAAGAAGCUUAUGUGUAUAUUCAUAGUGUGGAAACAAUUAGAAACUAGCGUCCCAUCAUUUGAUUGAUCGUUAGAGGUUAUGUUCCAUUUGAAUUUAUACUUAUGAGAUCACUUUGUUAUUUCUAUCAGUUCUUGGCAAAUAUUCUAUAUUUACUUUGAUUGAAAAUGGAAGAAGCUUUAUGUAUUCAUAAUGUGAAAACAAUUAGAAACUAACAUCCUGUCUAUUUGAAUGAUUGUUAGAGAGGUUAGGUUCCAUUUGAAUUUACACUUAUGAGAUCACUUUGUUAUUUCUAUCAGUUCUUGGCAAAUAUUAUAUAUUUGCUUAGAUUGAAAAUGGAAGAAGCUUAUGUGUAUCUUCAUAAUGUGGAAACACUUAUGAGAUCAUUUUGUUAUUUCUAUCAGUUCUUGGCAAAUAUUCUAUAUUUGCUUAGAUUGAAAAUGGAAGAAGCUUAUGUGUAUCUUCAUAAUGUUGAAACACUUAUGAGAUCAUUUUGUUAUUUCUAUCAGUUCUUGGCAAUAUUUUAUAUUUGCUUAGAUUGAAAAUGGAAGAAGCUUAUGUGUAUCUUCAUAAUGUGGAAACACUUAUGAGAUCAUUUUGUUAUUUCUAUCAGUUCUUGGCAAUAUUUUAUAUUUGCUUAGAUUGAAAAUGGAAGAAGCUUAUGUGUAUCUUCAUAAUGUGGAAACACUUAUGAGAUCAUUUUGUUAUUUCUAUCAGUUCUUGGCAAUAUUUUAUAUUUGCUUAGAUUGAAAAUGGAAGAAGCUUAUGUGUAUCUUCAUAAUGUGGAAACACUUAUGAGAUCAUUUUGUUAUUUCUAUCAGUUCUUGGCAAUAUUUUAUAUUUGCUUAGAUUGAAAAUGGAAGAAGCUUAUGUGUAUCUUCAUAAUGUGGAAACAAUUAGAAACUAGCGUCCAGUCUAUUUGAUUGAUUAUUAGAGAGGUUAGGUUCCAUUUGAGUUAACACUUAUGAGAUCAUUUUGUUAUUCCGAUCAGUUCUUGGCAAUAUUCUAUAUUUUCUUAGAUUGAAAAGGAAGAAGCUUAUGUGUAUAUUCAUAAUGUAGAAACAAUUAGGAACUAGCAUCCUAUCUAUUUGAAUGAUUGUUAGAGAGGUUAGGUUCCAUUUGACUUUACACUUAUGAGAUCACUUUGUUAUUCCUAUCAAUCCUUGGCAAUAUACAGUUUUCCCCUCUUGUGUUUUAAACGUUUUAAAAAAAUUGCUUGUUUGCAAUCAUGUGAUGAUGAUGUGCAUGUUUGUUUGUUUCGGUGCAAUCAUGUGAUGAGGAAGAAGCUUGUGAGAUUGGAGAUGGUCAGGAGGAGCUUGAGAAUGAGAGCUGAUAUUAGGAUUAUGAAACAUUUGGUCACGUGGCCAACAUCAAAGGUAGUGUUAUAUGUUGGGAGUCUUGAGCAUAUCUUCAAGCAAGAAGGCAUGCGUGGCUUAUACCGUGGUCUUUUCCCCUACCGUCAUGGCUCUUCUCUCGAAAUUGGGCGGUUUAUUUCACAAUGUAGGACCAACUCAAGAGCUUUUUAAUUUCAAAUGAUGAGGAUCACAAACUCAGCGGCGUUGGUGCUAACGUAAUGGCUGCCUCUGGACCAUUGCCACUAAUCAUCCUCUUUGGGUUGUCAAGACUCGUCUUCAGGUCCCUUUUUCUUCUUCUUGGCUUUGAUUUAUGCAAUCAAAGAAGGAACGUUAAGUAUUUACCUGCCCUGCUUAACAAUAAGAAUCUGUUGUCUUUGAAUCCACAAGGAAUGAGAGCGGGUGUAGUGGCAUCAUACAAGAGAAGGAAUCUGCGGACUGUACAGUGGACUUGUGCCUGCACUAGCUGGUAUUAGUCACGUUGCCAUUCAGUGGUCAAAACCUACUUGACCAAUAAAACUAAGCUUUUA